AGAUUGAACGCUGGCGGCAGGCCUAACACAUGCAAGUCGAGCGGCAGCACGGGUACUUGUACCUGGUGGCGAGCGGCGGACGGGUGAGUAAUGCCUAGGAAUCUGCCUGGUAGUGGGGGAUAACGCUCGGAAACGGACGCUAAUACCGCAUACGUCCUACGGGAGAAAGCAGGGGACCUUCGGGCCUUGCGCUAUCAGAUGAGCCUAGGUCGGAUUAGCUAGUUGGUGAGGUAAUGGCUCACCAAGUCGACGAUCCGUAACUGGUCUGAGAGGAUGAUCAGUCACACUGGAACUGAGACACGGUCCAGACUCCUACGGGAGGCAGCAGUGGGGAAUAUUGGACAAGUGGGCGAAAGCCUGAUCCAGCCAUGCCGCGUGUGUGAAGAGGUCUCGGAUUGAAGCUACUUUAAGUGGUAAGGAAGGCAGUUACCUAAUACGUAUCUGUAUUGACGUUACGACAGAAUAAGCACGGUCU
rnacentral:rRNA from 1 species